CUCAGUAUCGUUGACCGAGAAGAUGACGGAUGUACAAGUGAAUUCGAACAACGACAACACCGCCAGCAACUUGCAGCAGAAUGACGACGUCAUGCAGCGAACAGGUAAGAGACGAGGUAAAAGUUUAUGCCAGAGCAAAAAGUGAAGCGAAAUCUCCAGCAACUGAAAACGUUUAGUAACCAUGAACCCAAGAGAGUUCCUUCGAAAAGACAAUAUCGUCACGUAUGUAACGUCUUAAAAUUAUAUAUCAUUGACUCCGUUUUUAUGACGUUUCUGCGAUGAAACAUGGCGCCUCUAUGACGCCACUACGUAUAUUAGUUCGCUUGCUAUUUGUCGAUAAUAUCAUCGCUUGGAGUGUAACACCGAGGGAUUUGAAAUGAAUGGAACAACCGUUUCAUUGAAGAAGAAGUUUGGCUGAAUCUGUGCACCACUAACGAUAAUAUGUAAUUGAUGAUGAGGCGCGAAAUAACUCGAGAACAUCAACGAAUGACUUGGUCAAACCAACAAUUAAUCAAUAAAGAUAUUGAAACUCUGAAUGUUGGAAACCGUUCUCGUGACAUAAAUGAUAUUUAUCGACAACCAGAUAACAUUUUAUUAAGUUACCAGAACUGAAUUAUGGAUGCAUAGAUAAGUUUUAUUACCGACUUUGCGGUAUAAAAAAUUCUUCCUCGCAUUUUAUAUUUUUUACGAUAUUUUAUAUUUACGAAUAAAACGAACGUUAUAUUUUUAUAGAAGGAAUUUGUCGAAAUACACGAGAUUCAUAGCAUCAA
rnacentral:lncRNA from 1 species